GCCGGGCCUUCGGGCUUCCACUCAGUCUUUGACCCUCGGUCCUCGCUCAGCGGCCCGGCAGGCCGCACAACUGUAACCGCUGCCCCGGCCGCCGCCCGCUCCUUCUCGGGCCGGCGGGCACAGAGCGCAGCGCGGCGGGGCCGGCGGCAUGGCUGUGUCCUGGAGGAGCUGGCUCGCCAACGAAGGGGUUAAACACCUCUGCCUGUUCAUCUGGCUCUCCAUGAAUGUCCUGCUUUUCUGGAAAACCUUCUUGCUGUAUAACCAAGGGCCAGAGUAUCACUACCUCCACCAGAUGUUGGGGCUAGGAUUGUGUCUAAGCAGAGCCUCAGCAUCUGUUCUUAACCUCAACUGCAGCCUUAUCCUUUUACCUAUGUGCCGAACACUCUUGGCUUACCUCCGAGGAUCACAGAAGGUUCCAAGCAGGAGAACCAGGAGAUUGUUGGAUAAAAGCAGAACAUUCCAUAUUACCUGUGGUGUUACUAUCUGUAUUUUCUCAGGCGUGCAUGUGGCUGCCCAUCUGGUGAAUGCCCUCAACUUCUCAGUGAAUUACAAUGAAGAUUUUGUUGAACUGAAUGCAGCAAGAUACCGAGAUGAGGUGGGUGGUCUCUGUCUUCCCAUUUUUCUUUCACUUGUCAUGAGAUGACUAAUGAGGGUCUGUGAUUUUUCCCUGAAAAUUUGUACCUUACUGCUCCUUUUGAGUGCUUUUAAAAUGCAGUUGUCAAGUUGAGCUUUAUUCCUUUUCAGUAGAAAAUAUAAGUAAUUACUAUUUCAUAGUGUCUCCUGCUGAAAGUGAGAGUUGGUAGAAUGUCUACUUUUUAUACUGCAAUGUUCAGAUGGUUGCCACUCAGGUCUGCCUCUGACUCCCAGCAGCUUUUGUCUAAUUCCUAUCAUUCAGCUGAGAGUGUUGACAGUGCCGUUACAGGGUAAAAAUACUCUAUAAUUCACAUACUGGGUUUUGGGGAAAAGGGAAGAAAAGUAGAUUGAUUUUUUGUGAAUCCUGGACAAAUCAAUUUAUUUGACUUAAAAAAUGUUAGUGAGUUUUCAUGAUUCAUUCAUUUAAAAACAUUCCUCGAAUUAAGUGAUGUUGAAUUCAAUUCUGUAGCAGGCAAUAUCUGACGUAGAGUGCUUUUCUCCAUGUGAAGCCAUCCAUGAAAUGAAAUUAUAUGUGCAAGGUGCAGGCCAGAGCCUGAUGAGCCAGUUAGGUCUCUGUUGGUUGAUGCUUUUAUACAGUCCUCAGGCUGCCUUUGCUUCACAAUGCCAAGACUACAUCAAAAACAAACUGUUCUGUCCCAUUU
rnacentral:sRNA from 1 species